rnacentral:tRNA from 1 species
UAUUUUGUGCAAACUAUCAAGGGAUUCGAACUCUUAUAAAAUGUUUUCAAAACAUUCGCUUUCCG